GUAUAAAUGUAGCCAUGAAAUGUCAUAUCUGAUACACAAAAAGUUCUCUCUUCUUCCGCCAUAACUACCCAACCCGAACCAAGACCCGAUUUAAACCGCCACUCCAAACUGUUAGCCGCAGUUUCGCCGGAGUUCCCAAUCUCGUUCUCAUCUCCGUCGCCGGCUGCUGCUCAUACCUACUCUGUAUCGGAAAUCUCCAACAGUGAAAAUUGCAUAAGCAUUAAUUUAUGAUAUCUCUAUCCUCAUGCCUUGGCCAUUAAAUUCGUUCUUGUCCCAGGAUACGAGUUUAGAUUGACAGGUUUUUGGCUGAAAGGAGAGUACAACUUGUGCACUUUAUCUACUUGUUCUUUCUCCUAUUGUUCUUCCCUCUCUUUCUUCACAUAUAGCUAGUACGUUACCAAUGGCAUUAUUUUCGUGAAUAUUAUCCUGAUAGCAGGAUUCUAGUCAAAGUAUGCAGGCAGGCUGCUGAACAAUCACGGACUUCGAUUUACUCACAGCGAUAGUUGAUGAAGCUAGAAAAAUUCAUAUUAUGAUAGAGGCAAAGUUGUGACAUUUGCCGAUAUGGAGAAAAUUCUUGUUGGCAAGACUAUCAGCUGCUAGUGAGAAGACUUAUCAUCAAGGAAUUGAUCGUGCAUCAUAUUCUAUAUUGCAGCUCAGACAAAGUUGCUAAGCCUCUACUGUUGCCGUAGAAUCAGAAAAGCUAUUUUGCAUUAUAAUAGGACCACUCCUGAAUGCUGCAAGAUGCUGACUAACUGUUUUGCAAAAUGAGUUGAACAAACAGCACCUAAUUAUGUAAAAGCUGCUCUCAGGAAGACUUCUCUCGUUUGGGUUAAUUAUAUCCACAGGGAUCACUGCCUUAUGAAAGAACAAAGUGGUUUCAGCCAAAGGUACAGUGCCACACUUCGGAGUGAUUUUGACUUUGAUAAUGCAAAUGGACUUUGGUCUCAUGAAAUAAGUUUUUUCCAUUGGAGGACAAGAGAGGUUAAGCUUAUUAACUGGUUAGCUUUCAGACUUAGCUGCAGCAGCGUUUGUUUGCAGAGUGAGUUUCCACUGCUUACUGACAUGAUAUUUGUGGGAUGUUCUUGAAGUUGUAGUAAACAUGAUCUUGAUCUAUAAUUGCUUUGCCUUGAUCAAACAUGUGCACUUUGAGAACCUAUAACCUAGCGGAGAAAAUGUCUUAUUAUUUUGCUAAAUUGACCUAGUGUUACAAAUUUGUUUAGAAUUUUUCUCUAUGAUUUUAUUAAGCUCAUGCAUUGUAGGUAUCCCAAUUAAGAUGUUAAACUGUUCGCGCUCAUAGCUAUAUAUGUUUUAUCAUUGUAGUCUAUUGUCUAACUAAAUGACAUAAAAAGCUAACCAGUAUGUUAUUUCUGUCCUCCACCCGGGAGAUGUUUAAAAGGUUCACCUAAUGGAUAGCGCUACUGAAGGAGUAGUUUCAAAGAGAUGCGGUUGGAAAAUAUUUUAAAACAUCUGCUGAAAUUUCAGUAUCGUAAUAAUAUAGGAGUUGUUUCAUAUUAUUCUUCAACUAACAAGUCCAUUGAAUCAAUUUCUCAAUGAUCUUAAUGGAGGAACACUGUUAAGUCGGCGAGUUUCCUGGUGUGAAACAGAUAUAACCUCUAGAAGAACCAGGACUACUGAAAAGAAAACCUAAGGGGUUGUGCUUAUUCUUCUUGUACUACCAAGUCAAGAAAUUGGCUUAUGUUAAUUCGUGAUAUUCUGCUUUGGUUGUGUUGGAUUCAUUCAUUGUUGUGGAGAAGAGUGUCAUACUAUUGCUUCUAUUGUCCUGUUUUCAUAUAGAGAAAAAUGUGAGAGGUUGCUGCUAUAGCUGUUUCUCUGGAUUGUCGUGGUCAUGGAGAGACAAGUUACUAGGUGUGAUAACUUUUCUCUCCAAUUAGUAUCCCCAAAUUAAGAUGUCUGAUGCAAGCGAGAGUGUGCUUGGCAUUCUAGUCAUCGUUUAUUGUCCUUUCUGAAGUUGCCUGGAAAAGAAAGACUUAUUUUUGAACUCUUUGCCCUAGAGCCUGUAUGAAACUUGUUGUCAGUAAAAGAUAGUAGCUACAAAAAAGUUGGGCGUUAAGUAUAUGAACGUCUUGUUUGGUACUUCAGUCAUGUGUCCAUUUAACUCAAGUUUCCCCCUUUUGUUUUUCCUCUCUCCCUGAGUUUGACUAGGAGAGGGCCUUUCUUUUGUGUGGUUUGGGGUGCACUGGCUUUUACAGGAAUAUUGUUGCACAAGUGUUUGAUCAAUAUUAUAUAUAAGUAUCUUUUUAGUGUUUUAACAUUUUCUUAGAGUUUAACAUUAGUGGAGGCAAUGGGCUAUUAUCUCCUUAUAUGGAUUGAGCAAUUCUCACCUCAUGAGUUAACUUUUUGAGUUAAGUUGAAGGUCAAGUUUCGAACAUGGUAUUAGAGUCAGAUUCAUCUCUAGCUAUUCUAGGUUUUUGCUCAAUGUUGGACCCCCAUCUUAUGUUAUCAACGCUCUAAAUGUACGACCUUGAGGCUUGAGCGCCGAGGGUGUGAGAGUCUCACAUUGGUUGAAAUAUGGGUUAUUAUGGCAUUGGACAAUUUUCACUCGUCAUGAGCUAGCUUUUAGGGUUGAUUUAAGCCCAAGGCUCAUUUUUUCUUAACACACUAGUUAGCGUUAGUUUGUAUGAUUAUGAAGCAUUUUGGCCUCUAUCCCAUCCCAUUUUUCAUACAAGGCAGGCAUUGGUUUUGAUUACUCAAAAGGAGCUAAGUGAUCCACUUCUUCACUGGGUUAUGAUACUCCAAUAAGAUAAUCGUUUUGUUAUAAAUCAAAUGCUUGUUUAGAAUCCCUGAUGUUGCUACAACUGUAAUAAUAAUGUUAAUGGUACAGAGAGUUUAAAUUAAGAAAUAACAAUGUGCUUUUUAGUUAUGUGUUUAUAGGGUGACUCUUGCCAUGGAAAGCACUGAUAGAAGUCAUCCUGAAUUAAAACCAAAGAGGAGGAUAUCAGGUAAACUGGAAGUCACAGCUUGUACCUCUAUGUUCUCUCCUUGAGAGGGGUUUAAUUAAUUGGAGUGACAUGGAAAAUGAGGAUUCAUAUCUUGCCGAGGCAUAGUUGUUAUUUUUGUUGUAUAUGUUCUCUCCUUGGCAGGUUUUUGAAGUGUGGCUUCUCUGAUUGUUCCUUUGGAUCAUAUACUAGUCGAAAGCAUCAAGGGAAAUGAUCCAUCUGUGUCUAGGUCAAAGUAUUACAUAAAGAAGCUGCUACCAUAUAUAUGCAGUAUGUGCAAUUGCAUGAGUCCUCAACACUUGGGGUGUGCUGCUGUCUGUUCGAUGACUAUGCAAUUAUUAUUUCCUUCUUCACAUGGCUGGCAAAAAACAAAAACAAAAAAAAAAGAUGCCAAAAUCUGCAAUUUUGAUAAAUGUUUCAAGUUUAGUUGUAAACUUCAGAUCUGAGGAAAUAUAUAAAUUUAUUUUUCCUGAA